rnacentral:rRNA from 1 species
CAGUCGCCGCGGUAAUACGAAGGGUGCAAGCGUUAAUCGGAAUUACUGGGCGUAAAGCGUGCGUAGGCGGUGAGUUAAGUCUGCUGUGAAAUCCCCGGGCUCAACCUGGGAAUGGCAGUGGAUACUGGCUCGCUAGAGUGUGUCAGAGGAUGGUGGAAUUCCCGGUGUAGCGGUGAAAUGCGUAGAGAUCGGGAGGAACAUCAGUGGCGAAGGCGGCCAUCUGGGGCAACACUGACGCUGAGGCACGAAAGCGUGGGGAGCAAACAGGAUUAGAUACCCCGGUAGUCCCUGUCUCUUAUAC